rnacentral:snoRNA from 1 species
UUUCUGCUAUGAUGAUUUAUUGAAAUGAAUUCACAUGUCAGACUUCAGAGAUUUUUUCAUAAAAUCCAUGAGAAUAAAAUUUCAUGAUUUCUGAGCAGGGA